UGCAUGAUUCACUUAAGAACUAUGGGGAAAACAGGGGUGAAAUGCUCCUGGUUUGGACCGGAUCGGGCGAUCCCGUAGCGAUGGGGGUGGGUAGUUCAGAGAAUCGGUAGCAAAAAUUCCUGGCCCCCACGCCCAUGCCUACCCAAUUGCCCGGUACCCACUUGGCAGCUUGCUGCUUCUUUCGGGCUCGCUCGCUUUUCCUGCCUUGCUUCGGUUGCUGCAAUCAAUUGCAUCAGCUAGCAACUCAAUCUGCCUGCCGGCAAUCCAUCUCAUCAGUGAGCAACUCAAUCUGCCUGCCUUGUCCCUUCAAUUGGUUGAAAUGAUUGAAGCAAAUAUGGUUCUAGCCCAAGUGUGAUCCCCAAACAAUGAAGAGAAGCAGAGCAUUUUGUCAAGUUACCUGCUUUGCACUGCGCUCAAAGACUACGUAUUGCUGACACUGAUCCAGUCGCCUUUUCUUCAACGUCCAAAAGUGAAGAACACGAUUUUCCCUCUGCAGCAGUUCACUCAGAAUGGCUAUGGAUGGAAAAAGAGAAGAACUGUUUCCUUAGCUGGUUUGGUAAGCACAGCCAGAAAUAGGCAUGCAAACAUGUACUGUACAUUUCUAGUAUUACUGAAAAACUCAGCCAACGAAGAAAUAUUUAAGCGUGUCAGUUUUACAUUUUCAACCUCUUAAAUGUGAAUAAAUACACAAAUGUUUGGAACACUCAUUCCUAAACUACAUAGUGAUUACUGUAGUAACAUGAUAUGCCCUUUAUCUUUGUAGCUUUAAAAGUAA